UUCAGCUUGAUUUGCUAAGAAGCUGGUGAUCAUUCAAGGCCACAUCUAUAAUUGCUUACCUCCAAGCCUGGGUCUGCUUCUCACAGAAUAACCCCACCCACUCGCUCCCACUGCUGUACAUCAGAGACCAACAGACACCUCUGGAUUAGCUAGCAGACCAGAUGAUGACUACAGUCCAUGCUGUGGGAGAAACAAAGGCAGACAGACUUUUUGGAGCUAAUCAACAGGAUCCCUACCAAAUGGUCAAAAGGAGCUCCACAAGAAAUUACAAAGCUCAGUACAAAGGACACAUCUCUCCCUUCUUAACUUGUCAUCCACAAGGAGGUUUUUAAGCAUCUGUUCAAGGAGUAAUCAGACAGCCAACACCAUGUUUUUGAUAGGGUCUUUAAGGCUGGGACCAGGACUUCCCAUUUGACAUCUCCAAUACCAGUGGGAUCCCACUCUCAUCUGGAGCUUCUACAUGUUACAAAAACAAUCAUCAAUGAUCCAGGCACAUUGUAGAGCACAAUGGAUAAAAGUUAAAUGAGGCUUGAUUAAAUCCACACAAACUUAAUGUGACAGUACUUAAAACUUCCUAGUAAUCAGAAAAAAAGUAAGCCCACAGACUUGCACCUGAAUAGGUAAGACAUACCAGAAGAGCAGCCAAUUGAAAAGGCUUGUGAUGUCCAUGUCCCUAGCUACCUCCAUUAUAUCACCAUAGAAAUAAACAGAACUUGCCUAACAUUAUGUUUACUAGCAUCUCCCUACCACUUCAAGUAAUGUUCCCACAUUAUUUUCUAUGAGAACAAGAUAUCUGUAUGGGUUUGAGACCUGAAAGGUAAACUAAUAGUAAGAGAUUAGUAGUGCAGUACAAUACAAUGCCAUGCAGAAAUACCCAAGCUAGCUCUGAAUGAAUUUGUACUUGAGGUAAUAGAUGCACUGUAGACAUGUUAGCAUAGUGCUCCACUCAUGCUAAUACCCUGCAUCUCAAUCGGGCUCAUUAGCCUGAGCAGAACUAGUCCAACCUAACCCAGAGCUGGCUCAGAUCUCUAUACAGUACGGUGCACUCCAUAUCCUGAGAAAUCCUGGCAGUAAGCCAUAACCACAUAAGCUGUCUGUCUAGUCAAACACAACCUUAGCCUCGUGGUCUUAGUCAUAUUUAAAGUCACACUGACUUGAAUGGAAUGCUUACGCGGGUACAGUUUUGAAAGAAUGGAUUCUAAAAUCAGCAAUGGAAAAAUGGGUACAUUCACAUCAAGUAGAACUGAUUUGAACAGACUCAAGUAUGAACAAUAUUAGAUAAGAUACAAUUAAGAACAUCUUAAUAACAACAUUAGCAAUGGAAGCAUAUCUAUAACGAGCAUUAAGAGGAUUUUGUAGAAUACUCUAAAAAUUCUUUUUUUAACCAGAUUGGAUGCUGUCAUGGUUUUUUUGUUUUUUCUUUACCUAGGUCAGCCAGUGUAUACCAUGCCUCUAGCAAAGAGUAGCCACUGAACUGAUCUCUCCUAAAAUUUCAUUUCCCAGUCACUAUUAAUAACGGUCUAUCCCACAGAACCCUGGUGGGGACAGCAUAGUAUCAUAGUGAUACACAGCUCACGUCAAUUCCUAUGACACUGACUUGGGUACUGCUGGCAUUACAAACUAUACUGUCUUGGAGAGCACAGCUUGAAAACCUGGAUACCCUAAACCAUUAUAGUUUAGGGUAUAUAAGAUUUAAUUAAGACAAGUCUAGGAAAUUGGAGAUUACUCUCUCAUCUUCAGACAGUUUUUUCCUGAAGGCAGACUUAAAAAAUACAAGCAUCAGAUAUUGUAAUGAUACACUUAACAAGGUAGUUUUCUUAAACAAUCACAAUGCUUUUAAUUAAAUUAUGCCAUCAAAUUCAAUUUGGGUAAGCUAGCAAAAGAAAAAAAACAAUGAAAGAGAAGGUUAAAAAAAAAAAAAUGUUCAGGAUUAGUUUGGCCAAAAGAAAAAAAAAAAUCUAGAAUUAUAACCUCCACUGAGUUUUUAAUGUGUCCUAUGGGAUCUACAUAGUAAUGGAAUGAGUGAUCUUCCAUACAUAUGCAUACGCAUAUACGCAUUAUCAACCUACAACAGAACGUGGUAAGGACAGAGAGGUGGUCUUAAUUCAAACAAUUAGGGAGGAAAUCCAGUUCAAGUAACAAUUUUGUUGUUUAAGAAUGUCAGUCAAUGUAGAAAAAUAAAUUAAAUAUUUUAAAAUAUUCAGAGUGACCUGCUGUUGCUGCAGAAAAUGGAAUGUGAUAAUGUGAUGUCAGUACAAGUAUGCCUAGUGUGUAGCUGACUAACUUCAAACGCAACUUAUUGGCAGUUUAAUGGCUUCAGGACAUUAUGAUGUCAAUGGGACUAUAGUAGACAUUUAUGUUAACAGAGGCGGCAUGUUUGCAGAAGAAAGCUCUUUCAUUUCUAUUGAAUGAUUACUGUAGGACUCAAUGGAUCUUGAAGCUGAUAAGUGUCUCAAGGUAGAGUGUGUUCAUAUUUACAGGACUGUGCUUCCAACUGCUGGUAGAAAGAAAAUUAACAUUACAGAAUCAGCCCUUUGUAUUACAUUGAUUGUGUGUGUCCAUGUGCGUCAACUAUCCUAAUAAGCGGAUUAAAAUGACGGGCUGUCUCACUCA